CCUACGGGAGGCAGCAGUGGGGAAUAUUGGACAAUGGGCGAAAGCCUGAUCCAGCAAUGCCGCGUGAGUGAUGAAGGCCUUCGGGUCGUAAAGCUCUUUUACCAGGGAUGAUAAUGACAGUACCUGGAGAAUAAGCUCCGGCUAACUCCGUGCCAGCAGCCGCGGUAAUACGGAGGGAGCUAGCGUUGUUCGGAAUUACUGGGCGUAAAGAGUACGUAGGCGGUUAUUCAAGUCAGAGGUGAAAGCCCGGGGCUCAACCCCGGAACUGCCUUUGAAACUAGAUAACUAGAGUCUUGGAGAGGUUAGUGGAAUUCCGAGUGUAGAGGUGAAAUUCGUAGAUAUUCGGAAGAACACCAGUGGCGAAGGCGACUAACUGGACAAGUACUGACGCUGAGGUACGAAAGCGUGGGGAGCAAACAGGAUUAGAUACCCUGGUAGUCCACGCCGUAAACGAUGAUAACUAGUUGUUCGGUCACUUGGUGACUGAGUGACGCAGCUAACGCAUUAAGUUAUCCGCCUGGGGAGUACGGUCGCAAGNUUAAAACUCAAAUGAAUUGACGG
rnacentral:rRNA from 1 species